rnacentral:rRNA from 1 species
AUUGAACGCUGGCGGCAGGCCUAACACAUGCAAGUCGAGCGGAUGAAGGGAGCUUGCUCCUGGAUUCAGCGGCGGACGGGUGAGUAAUGCCUAGGAAUCUGCCUGGUAGUGGGGGAUAACGUCCGGAAACGGGCGCUAAUACCGCAUACGUCCUGAGGGAGAAAGUGGGGGAUCUUCGGACCUCACGCUAUCAGAUGAGCCUAGGUCGGAUUAGCUAGUUGGUGGGGUAAAGGCCUACCAAGGCGACGAUCCGUAACUGGUCUGAGAGGAUGAUCAGUCACACUGGAACUGAGACACGGUCCAGACUCCUACGGGAGGCAGCAGUGGGGAAUAUUGGACAAUGGGCGAAAGCCUGAUCCAGCCAUGCCGCGUGUGUGAAGAAGGUCUUCGGAUUGUAAAGUACUUUAAGUUGGGAGGAAGGGCAGUAAGUUAAUACCUUGCUGUUUUGACGUUACCAACAGAAUAAGCACCGGCUAACCUCGUG